ensembl:lncRNA
GGCACCUGGGAUCGGACAGGCCGGCGCCGACCCUCCCAACCCCAGAUUGUUCCAGAAAGAGUUGAGAAGCCCUACAGCGGCAAGAAGCGGGGAGGAGGGCACAGUGCCCUGAAUCCGGUGCAACAGAAAUUUAACUGCGUGAGUUUUUAAAGAACUUUUAUGAACUUGCAUCCAUCUGACACCCAUUCCAGCUUUCUGUUGACGUCUGCUAAAUCUGUCCACACUCGGGGCCGGGAAGAGUCAUUCUUGCUUCGUGCAUUACACAAGACAUCUGUAAAUUGGAUACUCUUUUCCUCCCUUUAAAAAAUAAUUUCCCUCAACCGCGAUACACAGACAAUUUUACUCUGAGGAGUCCCGGCUGUGAGGCUGGAAAUGCUGAGUGUGAGUGGGAAAGGCAGAUGUGAAAUGAUCCCCCAGCCACUGAGGUGCUUUCUGGAAAAUGCAAUCAAAUACUUGAUAACUUGCUAAUAGUAUGGUUAUUAAACAGUCUGCCUUCAUCUUUCCCAGAGCAAGAAAAUGUACAAGAAUUUGCAACACAAUGGAAAAUGGGAGAUUAUGAAAACGGGUCUGUUGUUAGUAUUUACAGCCCUUUACAUUUCUAAAGGGUUCGUGAUCGCCUCUGAGUUUCUGCUCAUCCCCGCAGCUCCCCAAAAUGCUUCCCUCCAAGGGCUUGAAUGCUGAUAUCAGCCCAGUUAAUACCCACCUCUGCUCCUGUUCACCUGUGCCCAUCACUCCCCAGGCAGGGAAGUCCUGGGGGCCCAGGGAGACAGGGACCCUUAAAGACCCACCUCAAGCUGACCCUCACCAGCCAGGUGGCCUGCUGUUCCCAGACCUAACUAAUGUUCUGGAAUUCUGAGUUGGUGCAGAAUCUUCAGGGCGGCGCUGUCCAGAGACUGGUGGUGCUGAAGUUCAUUGUUGGCAAAGCCCUGGCAGAAAGGCGCCCUCUCUGAAGUGCGUCUCUGGGAUCCACCUGUACCAUCCUAUCUGUGGGUGGCAGAAUGUCUGCUCUGCAGCCAUGGAAACAGCUCUCAGAAAAGCAAUUAGUGCACAGGUGUGUACUUUAGAUCGGCGAUAUUUUGAAUUUAUUUAUAACUGUAAAAGCAAUUAGUCUACAUAAUGAACUAAUCACUUACUGGAAUUUGGAGUUCUUUUGGAUCUCCAUGUAACACACAUGUAUAGAGCAAAAUUUCGCUUUCUAAAUUCUGAUAAUUAAAUCAACUCCAAUUUCAUUGCAAUUAGAUUGAGCACAACUAUCAUAGUAGAUUUCAAAAUUGCCUUGUGAGUUUUUUUUUUUUCCUCCUUCCUACCUGCUGGUUAAAAAAGCAAAGUUAAGUGAGACUAUACUGAGGCAAACAAUAUUUCUUUGGAGAACAUUCCAGGGGAACGUGUGUUCAUCCUAUUUUACAAACAAGGAUUUAUUUCAGAGAGGUUAAGGCUAACUUCAAAAAUUAUUGACUGCAUCCUCUGCACUGGAAAAUCUGUAGUAUAUUGCCUCAUGUAAUUCAUAUCACAACCCAAAUACAUAUUAUCAUACAUUGACAGAUAAGGAAAUUUGGUCCCAGAGAAGCAAGCAAAGGAUAACAAAAACUAGUUACUGGUCACCAAAUGAGUGUCUAUUGUUCUUUAACAUCUGUAACAAUUCUAGGCAGGAGAAAUUAUUUACCUACAUCAGAUGAGAAACCAGAAGGUCAGAGAUGCUAAG